AGAUCCAUCUGGCGCACGUUACGAGGCCUGGCUCCCGGUCCGGCCCUACCUUGCGUGCGCAUAUCUCCGGGAUCUGCGCCGCGUCUGCUCGCGGCGAUUUCGGUUAUGCCGGCCCGAACACUCC
rnacentral:snoRNA from 1 species